AUAUCAACUUGUUUGUUAUUAUUUCAAACUCGGUAAUCCACUUCAUCAAUUCGUUUUGAUAUUUGGAUUAAGAUUUUCAAAAAUAAUAAGUAAAUUUAAAAUUUGGUUAACAAUAAAUGUUGGGGGAAGAGAGUUCCUUGUGUAUAUAUCUCUUGUAUUGAUUUGAGAGGGCUUAACAAGCGAUGGUUGUUCCAUCAUGAUAGCAAGCUUUAGGCGCUUGUGGUGAAGGUGCGUCUAAUGAGAUGAUGCUCAAGGAUGACGUGCAGAGGUAAUAUAAUAAUUGUCCUCUCUCUCCCAGUUGUGGAGAUGUUAUAAAGUGACCUUCGAAACGACGAAAGAGUCAAGAAGGGAGUGAUUAAGAGCUUAGGUUGCUUUUGUUUGAUCUGAUCCGGAAGUUUCGAACAAAGAAAAAGAUCGAGGGAAAGAAAAAGUUUCGGAUUAGUAGAUACGAUCAAUUGUCAAGUGCUCAAAGCUCGUGAAGGUUGGAUUUGGGGUCGGAGUUAUCAUCACACUAUCAAUCCCUUGAUUUUGAUAUAAAAGUUAGACUUAUUUUGAUAUAAUGGAAUGUAUAGACUAAUGUAGACAAGUAACACUUAAAAAUGUUGGUUUGUAAUCUAGCCAUUGGAAUGGCUAGUAAUAUAUGUUUUAAGAAUGAUAUGGUAUGGUAUU